rnacentral:antisense_RNA from 1 species
GAAAGUGUGCGCUACACGCCGCCUCGGCCAGCCUCCGGGACGUCCCCACUUGUCCGCGGGAGGUUGACAUAAUCUGGUGUCAAGAAGUGGGACCAAAGUGAGCUCACCUUGAUGGAUCGGUGACCCCUGGAAUCACAUGAAGUUCCCACAUUGAGCCCCUUUGAGCUCUCCAGUCCUACAGCUCACCUUUUCUGUCAUGGUGAAUCUCCUCUCAGGUUCUUGAACUCCCUCAUUUUGGGCUGCCCACCUGUGAAGAAGAUUGAGGUGGAAUAAGAGCAAAACCUCAAGUGGGGCCAUUUUUGCUUCAGAAUGAAAUAGAAAAAGGCCACAGCUGAACUACAUUUUCUAGCAAUCCUCAGAAUAAGAUGUGGUCAUUGACUGAAUUCUGGACAAUGGAAUGGAGUAGAGUGAAAUACAUUACUCCUAGUGACAAGGAGGCACUCAAGCAUGAGUUACAACACAGCCGACCUGGAAUACAGCUGAAAAGAUUGAAGCAACAGGUUCGCAGCGAAAGGCCUUUACAGCUUCUUUCGACUCUGACAUUUCAGGAUCAGCACAAUUCUCCUCUAUUUACUGCUGAAGCAAUCAACUGGGAUUAUACAAAAAAAUUAUUUGUAUUGAA